rnacentral:rRNA from 1 species
CCCUUAGAUGUUCUGGGCCGCACGCGCGCUACACUGACGAAGUCAGCGAGCAUGUCCUACGCCGACAGGUGCGGGGAAUCUUGUCAAACUUCGUCGUGAUGUGGAUUGAUUAUUGAAAUUCUUGAUCAUCAACGAGGAAUUCCUAGUAAGCGCAAGUCAGCAGCUUGCGUUGAUUACGUCCCUGCCCUUUGUACACACCGCCCGUCGCUACUACCGAUUGAAUGGUUUAGUGAGAUCUUCGGAUUGGCGCCACUGCGGCUCAGCAAUGGGCUCGGUGGAUGCCGAAAAGUUGAUCAAACUUGAUCAUUUAGAGGAAGUAAAAGUCGUAACA